UUGGAAUUUGCCCUUGACAUAUAAGAAGAUGAUGAGUGAUGAAAGUGACAUGUUGGCCAUGGCGUUGGAGCGGAUGAGUGGCAUCAGAGCAGGUUCUAAGGCUCUGGAGUAUUCCAAUGGGUUUCUGAUUGCCACUGUUCCACUUCUCUGUUCACAGGAAGCUUGCGAGCUCUGCACCUUGUGGAAGACCUGUGUGGACUGUUAGAGACAAUGGAAACAGAUGAGAAGGAAGGCCUGAGAUGCCAGAUCCCAGACUCAACAGCAGAAAUGCUUAUUGAAUGGCUUCAGAGUCAAAUGACAAGUGGACACCUUCCUGGGAACGGAGACGUGUAUCAGGAAAGGCUGGCGCAUUUAGAAAGUGAUAAAGAAUCCUUCGUUUUUCGGGUAAGUGUGUUAACAGAGCAGGUGGAGGCUCAGGGAGAGAAGAUUAGAGAUUUGGAGUUCUGUCUCCAAGAGCACAGACAGAAGUUGAAUGCCACAGAAGAAAUGCUGCUGCAGGUUUGUGCAGAAGCCAGCACCAAGGUGGGCUUUUCCAGAUGAGUUAUUUGAGUUAUUACAUUUCUAUGUUGUAUUUGCUCUGAUGCAGCAGUAAAUUUCGAGAUUGACUUAGACCAGCGCAUU